rnacentral:tRNA from 1 species
UGCAUCGGCCGGGAAUCGAACCCGGGCCGCCCGCGUUGCAGGCGAGCAUUCUACCACUAAGCCACCGAUGC